CUUGGGGUUGGAUGCGGCAACUCGCGGCUCGAAGACAAUCUUUUGUGGUGGGGCGUCGCCGCCGCCGGCGGCACCUGCAUAGACUGUCUCGCUGGGAACGAAGAGAUGCUCCCCUGAUUUGGAGCUGUAGAAAGGAGGUGCUUGUAGACACAAAGUGGGGACACACAACUCCCAGUCAUAAUAUUCUUUAUCUUGGCUCGUUGUUUGGGAAUGGACGCAUCAAUCUGAUGGCGCUCUCCUCCAUGCCAAACGGAUCCUUGGUUCGGAGGCGCGCGGCGCCGACGAUGACAACCUUUCUAUCGACGCAAGGGCAGCAGGAGCUCAUGAUGCUGUUGAUGCCACCACCAUGAAUGGGGUUGAUGCAAGGUGGGACAAUGCGAUCACUAAUGGGGAGAACAUAAAACUUCAAUUGAGGGCACUGUGAUUCUCUAGCUACAUGUAUCAUGGUCACCAACCACACAUGUAUUCAACGUGAGGAAUUUUAUACUUUUGGAGUGGAGCUAUCAAAUAUAUAUUAUGAGUUUCUAAAACAUCUAUUAUAAGG